UGAAGUGUGAACACAGUUUAGCCAUAGU
rnacentral:piRNA from 1 species